AAGUCGCAACAAUCAAAUACAAACAGAGAACACAUGUCAUUGAUUGAACACAACCACUCAAAAUUGAUUUAACCUGUUUCAAAUGAUGCGACACAACCAAUAUAAGCCAGUUCAGAGAGCAAACAGGUUGUUGAAGGUGGGAAGGAGAAAGUCUGAGAAUGGAUAGAGGAAACAAUGUGAGAGGACGAGUGCGUAUGCGAGGUGGGCGACGAAGAGGAUGAGGAGGGCAAGAAAGAGGAAGAGGAGGACGAAGAGGAAGACAAAGAGUGGAAAUAUCUGAUGAAAUUCGAGCAACAGUUAUAGACCAUGUUCUUGUCCAUGGACUGACAGUGAGGGAAGCAGGACUUAGACUGCAACCCAAUUUGAGCCGAUUUUCUGUGUCCACCAUAGUAAGGACAUUCAGAGAAGAGACCAGAAUUGCAAGGCUGCCACAUGCAGGUGGAAGGACAGCUAUAUUUACUCGGGAGCAAGAGGCCGUUAUAGUUGGCCUGGUCCUUCAAGAUAAUGCAAUACGACUCAGAGAAAUCCAGGAACGAGUGAUACAACACAACACACACUUCCAGGGAAUCGACAGUGUGAGCAUUUCCACAAUUGACCGUGUCCUCCAUCGUAACAGGAUGCGAAUGAAACAAGUAUACAGAGUACCUUUUGAGCACAACUCACCAAGGGUGAAAGAACAUCGAGCUCAGUAUGUGCAAACAAUAUUUGACUUGGAAUCCUUGGACAGACCCCAUGAGUUCAUCUUUGUCGAUGAAGCAGGCUUCAAUCUAACAAAGAGGAGAAGGAGAGGCCGAAACAUGAUUGGACAGCGGGCCAAUGUUGUAGUCCCUGGUCAACGAGGUGGCAAUGUCACAAUCUGCUGCUAUCAGCAACCAUGGUGUUCUACAUCACCAUGUUACACUCGGGCCAUAUAACAUCCAGCACCUUCUAAGAUUUAUUGCCAAUCUAAGAGAUAUUUUAUUUGAGCAGCAGGUUCAAGAGCAGCAGGGUCAAGAGCUAAAUGAGAAUCCCAUUCCCACCUAUGUGAUAGUGUGGGACAAUGUCAGUUUCCACCGAGCUGCUCAGGUAAGGGAAUGGUUUAACAUCAAUGGGCAGUUUAUGAACUUGUACCUCCCUCCAUACUCGCCUUUCCUGAAUCCGAUUGAGGAGUUUUUCUCCUCUUGGAGAUGGAAAGUGUAUGAUAGACAACCCUACACAGAGUAAAUCUGCUGCAAGCCAUGGAUUUAGCCUGUGGUGAUAUAGGUGAGAAAUCAUGUCAUGGCUGGAUACGGCACACAAGAGGCUUCUUCCCCCGUUGCCUCAGGAGGGACAAUAUUGCUUGUGAUGUCAACGAAGUGCUCUGGCCUGACCCAGCCCAAAGACAAGUAGAAGCACAUUGAUCACAUGUUUACUCCUUUGAUUUUUGUCCCUUUUAGUAUUGUAUACUGUAGUACAGUGCAUUGUAGGCUGUAUACUGUACAAUGGACAAAUUGUAUGGCCCUGAACAUUGUGCUUUCCAUUUAUUAACAGUACUGACUGCUCAAUAGAUUUUGACUGAUUGCAGGUUCAUAUCAACAAAGAACAAGAAUUACAGUAUCACAGAGACAAAGGACAAGUUUGUGAGAUGCAGGGUACAGUACUGUAAAAAUAGGGGUACAAGGAGGAGGAAGAACAAAAAACCAAAGAGCAAAGCAGAGUAGUAAUUUCUGAUAAAUUUUGAGCUACUAUGAUAGAACAGGUUUUCGUUCAUCAAAAGACAAUGACGGAAAAAUAUGGGUAUUUUUUUAGAUUAAAAAUGUACUUCUCCCUGAGAAUUGUAUGUUUUGAACAAUGUGUUUUCUAUUUUUCGGUGUAUUGUUUACUGACUGCUUGAGAGUGUAUAUCAUUUUGAUCACUUUGUUUAUGAUUUGAGAGCAGUGUUUGAUUUUGAACACAGGUAAAACUGUUUUGAGGCGAAUGUUUCAUUUUACGAGAUGAGUCAGAGGUUAUGUAAAUAGUGCUUGAAGAUGAGGUUUUGUGUUUAAUGUUUUCAGGAAAUGGAGCAAGGUUUCAGAAAUUGUGUUUUAGCAAUUGAGAAAAACUGUAAUGUAAAUACUAUUGAAAAUCACUUCUGUAAUAAAUCAAUGUUUUUUAUGACUUGA